rnacentral:lncRNA from 1 species
CCAAGGGCACAGUGGAAUAACAAGAAGUGACAAACCGAGUGCUUAUGGCCUAACCUACCCGUGACCAAAAUGGAUGGAGCAGUGAGUCACCUACCAGACAGCAUUAGAGCUGUGGCAACAAGAGACCAGAUGUAACUUCUGCCCUGUAUCUCCUUUCCAGACCACAGAAGUACAGCAUAUCGAAUUUGCUUUGACUUGCACAAGCUACAAAUCCUGGUAGGAAUUUCUAAACAAGAAAACCAUUCACACUCUUGCUUUGCCUGGUGUUUCUUCCAAUAGUAUUUCAAUCUUGAAUACACACUGACCUAUUAAAAUAGCAGCAAUUGCUGGGGUAGGAGGUGAGUUGAUUUUUCUUGUGGUCUUGUUUUUGCUUUGUUUAUGUUUUUUUUCAUAAUGAAAACAAAUAUAUGCAAUAACUAGCUUUCACUUCUCGUGUAUAAACUGAGCAAACCAGAUGGCGGAUCUAAAUAGUUGGUAUUAUGUUUGGUAUUUGACUUCCUUCUCUUAAAUUUAC